rnacentral:rRNA from 1 species
CCCUUAGAUGUUCUGGGCCGCACGCGCGCUACACUGAUUCAUGCAACAAGUUCUGUCCUUGGCUGAAAGGCCUGGGUAAUCUUUGAACGUGAAUCGUGCUGGGGAUAGAUGAUUGCAAUUAUUCAUCUUCAACGAGGAAUUCCUAGUAAACGCAAGUCAUCAGCUUGCAUUGAUUACGUCCCUGCCCUUUGUACACACCGCCCGUCGCACCUACCGAUUGAAUGGUCCGGUGAAGCCUCCGGAUUGGCGCGCACCUCGGUGCCGCCGAGAAGUUGGCUAAACCUUACCAUUUAGAGGAAGGUGAAGUCGUAACA